GGCCGCGGGAAUUCGAUUUCUGGUUGAUCCUGCCAGACCCGACUGCUAUCAGAGUGGGACUAAGCCAUGCGAGUCAACGUAGCAAUGCGUGGCGAACGGCUCAGUAACACGUAGUCAACAUGCCCAGGGGACGUGGAUAACCUCGGGAAACUGAGAUUAAACCGCGAUAGGUCAAGAUUUCUGGAAUGGAUCUUGUCUUAAAUCUACAUGGCCCCUGGAUUGGACUGCGGCCGAUCAGGCUGUUGGUGAGGUAAUGGCCCACCAAACCUAUAACCGGUACGGGCUCUGAGAGGAGAAGCCCGGAGAUGGGCACUGAGACAAGGGCCCAGGCCCUAUGGGGCGCAGCAGGCGCGAAACCUCUGCAAUGGGCGAAAGCCUGACAGGGUUACUCUGAGUGAUUUCCGCUAAGGAGAUCUUUUGGCAGCUCUAAAAAUGGUGCAGAAUAAGGGGUGGGCAAGUCUGGUGUCAGCCGCCGCGGUAAUACCAGCACCCCGAGUGGUCGGGACGAUUAUUGGGCCUAAAGCAUCCGUAGCCGGUCGUGCAAGUCCUCCGUUAAAUCCAGCCGCUCAACGGAUGGGCUGCGGAGGAUACUACAGGACUAGGAGGCGGGAGAGGCAAGCGGUACUUAGUGGGUAGGGGUAAAAUCCUUUGAUCCAUUGAAGACCACCAGUGGCGAAGGCGGCUUGCCAGAACGCGCUCGACGGUGAGGGAUGAAAGCUGGGGGAGCAAACCGGAUUAGAUACCCGGGUAGUCCCAGCUGUAAACGAUGCAGACUCGGUGAUGGGCUAGCCUCGUGUCAGCCCAGUGCCGCAGGGAAGCCGUUAAGUCUGCCGCCUGGGGAGUACGGUCGCAAGACUGAAACUUAAAGGAAUUGGCGGGGGAGCACCACAAGGGGUGAAGCCUGCGGUUCAAUUGGAUUCAACGCCGGGAAUCACUAGUGAAUUC
rnacentral:rRNA from 1 species